GUUUAUAUGGUCUGGUGUAGAGCAGUCGGCAAAGCAUAUUCAAAUGAAAUCGACGUUCCUGUUCUGGAUUGAGGCGAUCUUCCAGGAAAUAUCGAUAUCGAGGCACGUGUCAUCUCCUGACUAUCUGAUGAGAUGCCCAUAUAUGAUGGGUGUGCGAUUUGUCACAGCGUCCAAAAUGGGGCAUUCAAUGCUGGUGAAGUCGGCGAUGGGCUUGUGAAAAUAUUUUACUUCAUAGUCGGAGAACGGAUUGUAUCCGAUGGGGG
ensembl:ncRNA lncRNA:CR46130 long non-coding RNA:CR46130